rnacentral:rRNA from 1 species
GAACGCUGGCGGCAGGCUAACCAUGCAAUUAGAGCGCGCCUUCGGGUGAGCCGCGGACGUGUUAGUAACGCGUGGGAACGUGCCCUUCUCUACGGAAUAGCCUCUGGAAACGGAGAGUAAUACCGUAUACGCCCUUUGGGGGAAAGAUUUAUCUGGAGAAGGAUCGGCCCGCGUUAGAUUAGGUAGUUGGUGGGGUAACGGGCUACCAAGCCUACGAUCUAUAGCUGGUUUUAGAGGAUGAUCAGCAACACUGGGACUGAGACACGGUCCAGACUCCUACGGGAGGCAGCAGUGGGGAAUCUUAGACAAUGGGGGCAACCCUGAUCUAACCAUGACGAGAUGAGUGAUGAAGGCCUUAGGGUCGUAAAGCUCUUUAGCCUGUGAUGAUAAUGACAGUAACAGGUAAUAGAAACCCCGGGUAACUCCGUGACAGCAGCCGAGGUAAUACCGAGGGGGCUAGCGUAAGAACGCACAAACUGAGCGCUAAAGCGAGCGUAUGCGGACUAGAAAGUUGGGGGUGACAAACCCGGAGAUAAACCCGGUACUGACUUCAAAA